UUUGCCUUCAAUAGUCUACAGAAGGCAGCACAAAGGCUUGGCCUCGGGGCAAUGCACACUGAUAGUCCAGCUGUUCUAAAUAGUGCUUGCUAAGUUUAAUCUGUCUAGAGAAAGAGCAAAGUCUAAUAAUUUGGUAUAAAUCUUGACUUACCUUCACUGCCUCAAGUUUGUGGGAUUAUUUUGACUCUCUUGAAAGCAGUUCAGCCUUGCUACACUUUGAAGACAAGAUCAGUAGUGUGUGUUACAAAUGGGUCGUCGCAAAUUUUAUUUGGGAAGGCGUUUGAAGAAUUCUGAAAGACUAAACAAAGGGAAACGUCAAUUGGGAAGACCACCACAUAAAAAAUCGAUCGUGUCAUCCACAUCCACUGAUGGUACAUGUACUGAAAACACAUCCACUGAUAGCACAUUCAUUAAUAGCAGCGUUUCUGAUGGUACAUGUACUGAAAACUGCUGCACUUGAUCCAGUUAGAGGUAAUUGCAAGUCCAGAAAGAGAAUAUGUACAUCUGUAGAUGUGUCUGAACCUUUACCAAAGAGAGCAAGACGUUCAAAGAAAUCUAUGAGUGUAUGAUCUUGUUUUGAAGUGUAUUAAAUUUUGAAGUUA